rnacentral:rRNA from 1 species
UGGGGAAUUUUGGACAAUGGGGGCAACCCUGAUCCAGCCAUGCCGCGUGCGGGAAGAAGGCCCUAUGGGUCGUAAACAUCUUUUAUGAGGGAGAAAGUUUAUUGAUAGUACCUCACGAAUAAGGGGUUGCUAAACUCGUGCCAGCAGCAGCGGUAAUACGAGUGCCCCGAGCGUUAUCCGGAAUCAUUGGGCGUAAAGGGUGUGUAGGUGGCAUUGUUAGUCACACGUUAAACCCUGGGGCUUAACCCCAGAUCUGCGUGUGAUACGGCAAAGCUAGAGGAUGGCAGGGAUGUAUGGAACUCAUGGAGUAGGGGUGAAAUCCGUUGAUAUCAUGGGGAACACCGAAAGCGAAGGCAGUACAUUGGGCCACUCCUGACACUGAAACACGAAAGCGUGGGUAGCGAAUGGGAUUAGAUACCCAUGUAGUCCCUGAGCGGGCUGGCAAGGCGCAU